rnacentral:rRNA from 1 species
ACGACGAUAUGCUUUGGGGAGCUGUAAGUAAGCUUUGAUCCAGAGAUUUCCGAAUGGGGAAACCCAGCAUGAGUUAUGUCAUGUUAUCGAUAUGUAAAUACAUAGCAUAUCAGAAGGCACACCCGGAGAACUGAAACAUCUUAGUACCCGGAGGAAGAGAAAGAAAAUUCGAUUCCCUUAGUAGCGGCGAGCGAAACGGGAAGAGCCCAAACCAACAAGCUUGCUUGUUGGGGUUGUAGGACACUCUAUACGGAGUUACAAAGGACGACAUUAGACGAAUCAUCUGGAAAGAUGAAUCAAAGAAGGUAAUAAUCCUGUAGUCGAAAAUGUUGUCUCUCUUGAGUGGAUCCUGAGUACGACGGAGCACGUGAAAUUCCGUCGGAAUCUGGGAGGACCAUCUCCUAAGGCUAAAUACUCUCUAGUGACCGAUAGUGAACCAGUACCGUGAGGGAAAGGUGAAAAGCACCCCGGAAGGGGAGUGAAAUAGAACCUGAAACCGUGUGCUUACAAGUAGUCAGAGCCCGUUAAUGGGUGAUGGCGUGCCUUUUGUAGAAUGAACCGGCGAGUUACGAUUUGAUGCAAGGUUAAGCAGUAAAUGUGGAGCCGUAGCGAAAGCGAGUCUGAAUAGGGCGUUUAGUAUUUGGUCGUAGACCCGAAACCAGGUGAUCUACCCUUGGUCAGGUUGAAGUUCAGGUAACACUGAAUGGAGGACCGAACCGACUUACGUUGAAAAGUGAGCGGAUGAACUGAGGGUAGCGGAGAAAUUCCAAUCGAACCUGGAGAUAGCUGGUUCUCUCCGAAAUAGCUUUAGGGCUAGCCUCAAGUGAUGAUUAUUGGAGGUAGAGCACUGUUUGGACGAGGGGCCCCUCUCGGGUUACCGAAUUCAGACAAACUCCGAAUGCCAAUUAAUUUAACUUGGGAGUCAGAACAUGGGUGAUAAGGUCCGUGUUCGAAAGGGAAACAGCCCAGACCACCAGCUAAGGUCCCAAAAUAUAUGUUAAGUGGAAAAGGAUGUGGCGUUGCCCAGACAACUAGGAUGUUGGCUUAGAAGCAGCCAUCAUUUAAAGAGUGCGUAAUAGCUCACUAGUCGAGUGACACUGCGCCGAAAAUGUACCGGGGCUAAACAUAUUACCGAAGCUGUGGAUUGUCCUUUGGACAAUGGUAGGAGAGCGUUCUAAGGGCGUUGAAGCAUGAUCGUAAGGACAUGUGGAGCGCUUAGAAGUGAGAAUGCCGGUGUGAGUAGCGAAAGACGGGUGAGAAUCCCGUCCACCGAUUGACUAAGGUUUCCAGAGGAAGGCUCGUCCGCUCUGGGUUAGUCGGGUCCUAAGCUGAGGCCGACAGGCGUAGGCGAUGGAUAACAGGUUGAUAUUCCUGUACCACCUAUAAUCGUUUUAAUCGAUGGGGGGACGCAGUAGGAUAGGCGAAGCGUGCGAUUGGAUUGCACGUCUAAGCAGUAAGGCUGAGUAUUAGGCAAAUCCGGUACUCGUUAAGGCUGAGCUGUGAUGGGGAGAAGACAUUGUGUCUUCGAGUCGUUGAUUUCACACUGCCGAGAAAAGCCUCUAGAUAGAAAAUAGGUGCCCGUACCGCAAACCGACACAGGUAGUCAAGAUGAGAAUUCUAAGGUGAGCGAGCGAACUCUCGUUAAGGAACUCGGCAAAAUGACCCCGUAACUUCGGGAGAAGGGGUGCUCUUUAGGGUUAACGCCCAGAAGAGCCGCAGUGAAUAGGCCCAAGCGACUGUUUAUCAAAAACACAGGUCUCUGCUAAACCGUAAGGUGAUGUAUAGGGGCUGACGCCUGCCCGGUGCUGGAAGGUUAAGAGGAGUGGUUAGCUUCUGCGAAGCUACGAAUCGAAGCCCCAGUAAACGGCGGCCGUAACUAUAACGGUCCUAAGGUAGCGAAAUUCCUUGUCGGGUAAGUUCCGACCCGCACGAAAGGCGUAACGAUUUGGGCACUGUCUCAACGAGAGACUCGGUGAAAUCAUAGUACCUGUGAAGAUGCAGGUUACCCGCGACAGGACGGAAAGACCCCGUGGAGCUUUACUGUAGCCUGAUAUUGAAAUUCGGCACAGCUUGUACAGGAUAGGUAGGAGCCUUUGAAACGUGAGCGCUAGCUUACGUGGAGGCGCUGGUGGGAUACUACCCUAGCUGUGUUGGCUUUCUAACCCGCACCACUUAUCGUGGUGGGAGACAGUGUCAGGCGGGCAGUUUGACUGGGGCGGUCGCCUCCUAAAAGGUAACGGAGGCGCUCAAAGGUUCCCUCAGAAUGGUUGGAAAUCAUUCAUAGAGUGUAAAGGCAUAAGGGAGCUUGACUGCGAGACCUACAAGUCGAGCAGGGUCGAAAGACGGACUUAGUGAUCCGGUGGUUCCGCAUGGAAGGGCCAUCGCUCAACGGAUAAAAGCUACCCCGGGGAUAACAGGCUUAUCUCCCCCAAGAGUUCACAUCGACGGGGAGGUUUGGCACCUCGAUGUCGGCUCAUCGCAUCCUGGGGCUGUAGUCGGUCCCAAGGGUUGGGCUGUUCGCCCAUUAAAGCGGUACGCGAGCUGGGUUCAGAACGUCGUGAGACAGUUCGGUCCCUAUCCGUCGUGGGCGUAGGAAAUUUGAGAGGAGCUGUCCUUAGUACGAGAGGACCGGGAUGGACAUACCUCUGGUGUACCAGUUGUCGUGCCAACGGCAUAGCUGGGUAGCUAUGUGUGGACGGGAUAAGUGCUGAAAGCAUCUAAGCAUGAAGCCCCCCUCAAGAUGAGAUUUCCCAACUUCGGUUAUAAGAUCCCUCAAAGAUGAUGAGGUUAAUAGGUUCGAGGUGGAAGCAUGGUGACAUGUGGAGCUGACGAAUACUAAUCGAUCGAAGACUUAAUCAA